UAGGGAAUCUUCCACAAUGGACGCAAGUCUGAUGGAGCAACGCCGCGUGAGUGAAGAAGGUUUUCGGACCGUAAAGCUCUGUUGUUGGUGAAGAAGGAUAGAGGUAGUAACUGGCCUUUAUUUGACGGUAAUCAACCAGAAAGUCACGGCUAACUACGUGCCAGCAGCCGCGGUAAUACGUAGGUGGCAAGCGUUGUCCGGAUUUAUUGGGCGUAAAAGCGAGCGCAGGCGGAAGAAUAAGUCUGAUGUGAAAGCCCUCGGCUUAACCGAGGAAUUGCAUCGGAAACUGUUUUUCUUGAGUGCAGAAGAGGAGAGUAGAACUCCAUGUGUAGCGGUGGAAUGCGUAGAUAUAUGGAAGAAUACCAGUGGCGAAGGCGGCUCUCUGGUCUGCAACUGACGCUGAGGCUCGAAAGCAUGGGUAGCGAACAGGAUUAGAUACCCUGGUAGUCCAUGCCGUAAACGAUGAGUGCUAAGUGUUGGGAGGCUUCCGCCUCUCAGUGCUGCAGCUAACGCAUUAAGCACUCCGCCUGGGGGAGUACGACCGCAAGGUUGAAAC
rnacentral:rRNA from 1 species